rnacentral:rRNA from 1 species
GACGAACGCUGGCGGCGUGCUUAACACAUGCCAGUCGAACGGAAAGGCCCCGCCGUUGUGGGGCGCUCGAGUGGCGAACGGGUGAGUAACACGUGAGUAACCUGCCCUGGACUUUGGGACAACUUCAGGAAACCGGGGCCAACAUCGGAUAGGAGCUCCUGCUGCAUGGUCGGGGCUGGAAAGUUUCGGCGGGUGGCGAUGGACUCGCGGCUUAUCAGCUUGUUGGUGGGGUAGUGGCUUACCAAGGCUUUGACGGGUACCCAACCUGAGAGGGUGAACGGCGACCUUGGGACUGAGAUAAGGCCCAGUCGGCAACGAGAGGCAGAAGUGGAGAAUAUUACACAACGGGCGGAAGCGUGAUGCAGCAACGCCGCGUGCGGAAUGACGGCAUUAGAGUUGUAAACCGAUUUCGCCUGUGACGAAGCGUGAGUGACGGUAAUGGGUAAAGAAGCACCGGCUAACUACGUG